rnacentral:rRNA from 1 species
AUACGGAGGAUCCGAGCGUUAUCCGGAUUUAUUGGGUUUAAAGGGUGCGCAGGCGGCCAUUUAAGUCAGCGGUUAAAUCGUGGGGCUCAACCCCAUUCUGCCGUUGAUACUGGGUGGCUUGAUUGCGGUCGAGGUUGGCGGAAUUCGUUGUGUAGCGGUGAAAUGCAUAGAUAUGACGAAGAACACCGAUUGCGUAGGCAGCUGACCAGAUCGCAAACGACGCUCAUGCACGAAAGUGCGGGGAUCGAACAGGAUUAGAUACCCUGGUAGUCCGCACAGUAAACGAUGAAUACUUGUUUUCGGCGAUAUAAUGUCGGAGGCAAAGCGAAAGCGAUAAGUAUUCCACCUGGGGAGUACGCCGGCAACGGUGAAACUCAAAGGAAUUGACGGGG